CCUACGGGGGGCUGCAGUGGGGAAUAUUGGGCAAUGGAGGAAACUCUGACCCAGCAACGCCGCGUGAAUGAUGAAGGUCUUCGGAUUGUAAAGUUCUUUUCUAAGGGAAGAAGAAAGUGACGGUACCUUAGGAAUAAGCCUCGGCUAACUACGUGCCAGCAGCCGCGGUAAUACGUAGGAGGCGAGUGUUAUCCGGAAUGACUGGGCGUAAAGGGUGCGUAGGUGGUUUGGCAAGUUAGUAGCGUAACUCCAAGGCUCAACCUUGGAACUACUACUAAAACUGUUGGACUUGAGUGCAGGAGGGGCAACCGGAAUUCCUAGUGUAGCGGUGGAAUGCGUAGAUAUUAGGAGGAACACCAGUGGCGAAGGCGAGUUGCUGGACUGUAACUGACACUGAGGCACGAAAGCGUGGGGAGCAAACAGGAUUAGAUACCCGAGUAGUC
rnacentral:rRNA from 1 species